GGUUGUUUGGGAAUGCAGCCCAAAGCGGGUGGUAAACUGAGCUCCAUGGUGGAAUCCGGUCACGAGACCGAUAGCGAACAAGUACCGUGAGGGAAAGUUGAAAAGCACUUUGGAGAGAGAGUUAAAAAGUACGUGAAACCGUCGAGAGGCAAACGGGAGGGCCUGUCGGGUCGUUCGGUCGCUUUCAGGCGGGCCGGAGACCGGGUCGCGGGAUCGGGGACCUUCGCGGGCCUCGACUCGCGUCGCCGGCCGACGGCUCGGCGCACUAGCGUCGGACGAGGGCCGCGACCGGCUGGGCGGCGGGCAAACGGCUCCGGGCAAGGUAACCCCGCUUCGGCGGGGUGCUACAGGCCCGGUGCGCGCAAGGGUCGCCGCCCGGUCGAGGAGAGAUGCGCGCCGCACCUGCCCCGUUCGCGGGGCCGGGGAAGCCGUUCGAGCAGCGUCGUGUCGCGGUCCGGGACUGUCCUCAGUCCCGGGUCGUCUCGGCGCGGUUCCGAGCGGUCGCUCCCUCGCGAGGUGCCGCGGGUCAGCGGCUGACGCCAGCCACCUUCCCGACCCGUCUUGAAACACGGACCAAGGAGUCUAACAUGUGCGCGAGCCGCGGGGCAGUACGAAACCCGUAAGGCGAAAUGAAGGUGAACGCCGGCGCGGUCCGAAGGGAGGUUGGAUCCCGUCCCCGUCGGGGCGGGCGCACUACCGGCCGAUCUUCUCCGCCCUGUCGGCGAGGUCGAGCGAGAGCGUGCAAGU
rnacentral:ncRNA from 1 species